AGGGAGGUUCAGGAAGCCAUUCGUUCUUUCGCGUCUGCGGUGCCCGGAGUGUGGUACUUCUCCUAGUUGCAGUCAGGCUUCAUACGCUAUUGUCCUGCCCGUUAGAGCAGCCAGCGGGUACAGAAUGGAUUUUGGAAGAGGGAGUCACCACUGGACCUCCAAGGAAGCCACGUGCAGACAUCUACAACCUUCGAUCUCCUGACGAGUUUAUUGUUGGCCAAAACCAGGCUUUGAUUGAACCAGGAUGAAUGCGGGUGUUGGAAGUAGAAUAUAUAUAUACAUAUAAAAUUGGUUGGGAGCCACGUGUACCAGUGUGUGUUGAUCUUGGCUUGAUUCAGUCUGCCUUGUAACAGAAACUGGCGAUGGAAUAUGAGAGGAGCCCUCUGGAAAGAAAAGGACAGACCCUGUGCUUUCAUGAAAGUGAAGAUCUGGCUGAACCAGUUCCACAAGGUAUUGGCAACACCAGAAGUCCAGUUGGUCAGGAGCUGUGGAAUCAACCUCAUGUACCAUGUGAAUCCCUUGGCAAAUGCUAUUGGUUCUACCUUCAAAAUACAUCUGAAACCCACCCCCUCUUAGCGUCUUCAUUGCUACCACCUUGGUACAAACCAUCAAACAAGCUUGGAAUACUGGUCUCUACUUCAGCCUUUGCUCCCUACGAUCAAUUGAGAUGCAACCAGAGCGAUCUGUGAAAACCUGAAUUAGAUUUUGCCUGCCUGAGCUCCUCUAGUAGUGGCCACAAUUGCCAGAGAAGAUAGAGCAGGUCUCUCCCAGGACUUGCAGCUCCAGCCUGUGUCUGCAAGGGGUGUUGUAGCGACUGAUUUCUCCAGCCCAUGGCAAGAGGCCUUCAUCUUGUGCCUGGAAAGAGGGAAGUACAAGUCCGUCUGGCAGAGAUGGUGCAGAUGGGCAAGUUUUUCAGACACUGCAGCCAGCACUUCUGGGACCGCAGCAGUGGAGCCUGCAGAGGGCCGGUUCUCCAGGCAUGGGCUACUGACAUUGUCACUUCCAGACUCCUUAUGCAAUAAACAACCCCUAAACAGAUUUAUUCACAAUUUCUCCAUCCUAACAAGUCAGUGAUCAGUUUUCACUUUUCCACAUUCCCUUCUGUCCCCAUUAUGUUCCCAUAGUGGGGCAGCUUCUACCUGCAUGGUUGGAGCUUCCCAUUUUUAAAGAGGCAAGAAAUCCUUUAAAGUUCUUUGAAAUGUUUGUAGCCUGUUCCAAUUUUAUAAACUGUGAAGACUGAGCAACACACAAUGCAUGGGCCUCAUAUGGCCUGGAGGCCACCAGUUGGAGACCUCUGUAGCUUGAGCUGUGUCCCUUUCAGCACUGUUCUUGUCAUUCCUGAGCUGGGAUGCCCCCUGAAACAUAGGAUGCUCAGUUAAAUUUGAAUUUCUUUUUUUUUUUCCUUGAAAUGGAGUGUCGCUCUGUCGCCAGGCUGGAGUGCUGUGGCGUGAUCUCAGCUCACUGCAACCUCCACCUCCCUAGUUCAAGUGAUUCUCCUGCCUCAGCCUCCCGAGUAGCUGGGAUUACAGGCAUGCACCACCACACCCAGCUAAUUUUUGUAUUUUUAGUAGAGACAGAGUUUCACCAUGUUGGCCAGGAUGGUCUUGAUCUCCUAACCUCAUGAUCUGCCCGCCUCGGCCUCCCAAAGUGCUGUGAUUACAGGUGUGAACCACUGCGCCCGGCCGAUGGCAAUCAUUCUUUAAGAUGCAGCCUCCGUGGACCUCGUACCUUCUCAGUAAUUUCCAUAUUCUUUGCUGACUUGGGUUUUUCCUCCAAAAUUGUCUGGGAUAAAUUGAGGUUUGUGGAGUUUCCUGAUGGCUAGUUUCCAAACUGGCUUCAAAGCCUGGGCUUGUGGAAUUGGCUGGGUCUGCGGCCAGCCUAACCCAUCCUUCGGUCACAGUCUCCCAUGGUCCUGAUAUUAAUUCAUCACAGGUCUGUUUAGAAGGUGGCAGAAACAGACGGUCUUGGGCUUAUUUAUAUCUGUGGCUUUUUUUAAAAGACAGAAAAGGAGAAAUCUGGAUCCUUUCCUUGUCAGCCUCCUUUAACUAAAUGGUCUUUUGCUAAAAUAGACUGGCCCCACUGUGUGGGUAGGAAGGGUUGAGAUGGGAGUGGGCCAAGUGAGUGAGAACUUUUUUUUUUUGCCUUGAUGUUAAAAUGGCAGCAUGUGCAGUCUUCUGCCUCUGCCCAGGUUGACCUGAUGUUUUUACAGGGAGAGAGGCUGCUUGUUGAGUGUGGUGGUAUUUAUCAUAGUGUAUGUUAGGCUGCCUCAAACAUCCCUCGCUGUCGUACCUUUCAGCCAACUCUAAUGUACCUCUCUCAGCCUGAUUUCUCCCCACUUGAGUUAUAAUAACAACAACUGCCUUUUAAAAAAUUUCCUACUGGGCUUCAUGCUAGGUACUUUCCACGUUUUAUUUUUAUUUAUUUAUUUUUUGAGACAGAGUCUCACUCUGUCACCCACGCUGGAGUGCAGUGGUGUGAUCGCAGCUCACUGCAGCCUCAAACUCCUGGGCUCAAGCGAGCCUCCUGCCUCAGCCUCCCGAAUAGCUGGGACUACAGGUUUGUGCUACUGUGCCCGGCUAAUUUUUCUAUUUUUUU
rnacentral:lncRNA from 1 species